GGAGUCUGGGCCGUGUCUCAGUCCCAGUGUGGGGGGCCUUCCUCUCAGAACCCCUAUCCAUCGUAGGCUCGGUGGGCCGUUACCCCGCCGACUGCCUAAUGGAACGCAUCCCCAUCCCUAUCCGACAAAAGCCUUUGCCCUGGUAAACAUGCGGAAACCAGGGAACAUCGGGUAUUAAUCCCUCUUUCGAGGGGCUGUCCCCGAGAUAGGGCCAGGUUGGAUACGCGUUACUCACCCGUGCGCCGGUCGCCAUCUGGAAUAGCAAGCUAUCCCAAUGCUGCCCCUCGACUUGCAUGUGUUAAGCCUGUAGCUAGCGUUCAUC
rnacentral:rRNA from 1 species